rnacentral:rRNA from 1 species
CUACGGGAGGCAGCAGUGGGGAAUUUUGCGCAAUGGGGGAAACCCUGACGCAGCGACGCCGCGUGGAGGAUGAAGGUCUUCGGAUUGUAAACUCCUUUUGUAGGGAAAGAUAAUGACGGUACCCUAUGAAUAAGCCACGGCUAACUCUGUGCCAGCAGCCGCGGUAAGACAGAGGUGGCAAGCGUUGUUCGGAAUUACUGGGCUUAAAGGGCGCGUAGGUGUCCUGGCAAGUCAGAUGUGGAAUCUUUUCGCUUAACGGAAAAAUUGCAUUUGAAACUGCCGGGAUUGAGUCAGACAGGGGAUGGCGGAAUUCCUGGUGUAGCGGUGAAAUGCGUAGAUAUCAGGAGGAAGGCCUGUGGUGAAGACGGCCAUCUGGGUCUGAACUGACACUGAGGCGCGAAAGCGUGGGGAGCAAACAGGAUUAGAUACCCUGGUAGU